UUGCGGGAAGCAGCAGUGAGGAAUAUUGGUCAAUGGACGGAAGUCUGAACCAGCCAUCCCGCGUGCAGGAAGAAGGCGCUAUGCGUUGUAAACUGCUUUUCUGAGGGAAGAAAACCCCCGACGUGUCGGGGCUUGUCGGUACCUUGGGAAUAAGCAUCGGCUAACUCCGUGCCAGCAGCCGCGGUAAUACGGAGGAUGCGAGCGUUAUCCGGAUUUAUUGGGUUUAAAGGGUGCGUAGGCGGACCGAUAAGUCAGUGGUGAAAACCUGCAGCUUAACUGUAGACGUGCCAUUGAUACUGUCGGACUUGAGUGUGGUCAAGGUAGGCGGAAUGUGUAAUGUAGCGGUGAAAUGCUUAGAUAUUACACAGAACACCGAUUGCGAAGGCAGCUUGCUGGACCAUUACUGACGCUGAUGCACGAAAGCGUGGGGAGCGAACAGGAUUAGAUACCCCAGUAGUCG
rnacentral:rRNA from 1 species